rnacentral:rRNA from 1 species
GCUCCAAUAGCGUAUAUUAAAGUUGUUGCGGUAAAAAAGCUCGUAGUUGGAUUUCUGUUGAAAAUUGCGGGUCCAUACAACGUAUGCGUAUCUCGUCAAGUUUCGGCAUCCUCUCAUAAGACGUCUCUGCGCUUGAUUGCGUGGAACGGAUUGUGGGACUUUACUUUGAGGAAUUAGAGUGUUCACGGCAGGCAAUCGCC